rnacentral:rRNA from 1 species
GAUGAACGCUAGCGGCAGGCCUAAUACAUGCAAGUCGAACGGGAUCCAGAUCACAGCUUGCUUUGGUCUGGUGAGAGUGGCGCACGGGUGCGUAACGCGUGAGCAACCUACCAUUGUCAGGGGGAUAGCCCGGCGAAAGUCGGAUUAAUACCGCAUGACAUCAUUGAGAGGCAUCUUUCGAUGAUCAAAGAUUUAUCGGACAAGGAUGGGCUCGCGUGACAUUAGCUAGUUGGUAAGGUAACGGCUUACCAAGGCUGCGAUGUCUAGGGGCUCUGAGAGGAGAAUCCCCCACACUGGUACUGAGACACGGCCCAGACUCCUGCGGGAGGCAGCAGUAAGGAAUAGUGGUCAAUGGACGGAAGUCUGAACCAGCCAUGCCGCGUGCAGGAGGACGGCCCUAUGGGUGGUAAACUGCUUUUAUACGGGAACAAACGUCGGUACGUGUACCGGUCUGAGUGUACCGUAAGAAUAAGGAUCGGCUAACUCCGUG